rnacentral:tRNA from 1 species
CAUAGCUCAGUCGGUAGAGCGACGGACUGUUAAUCCGCAGGUCCCUGGUUCGAGCCCAGGUGAGAGCCA